UACGUAGGGGGCUAGCGUUGUCCGGAAUCAUUGGGCGUAAAGCGCGUGUAGGCGGUCCGGUAAGUCCGCUGUGAAAGUCGGGGGCUCAACCCUCGGAUGCCGGUGGAUACUGUCGGGCUAGAGUCCGGAAGAGGCGAGUGGAAUUCCUGGUGUAGCGGUGGAAUGCGCAGAUAUCAGGAGGAACACCGAUAGCGAAGGCAGCUCGCUGGGACGGUACUGACGCUGAGGCGCGAAAGCGUGGGGAGCGAACAGG
rnacentral:rRNA from 1 species